ACGGAACCGAAGUCGUUCGGAAUAGGCYUUGAAGCCUUUUAGCGGAAAAUAGGAGCCGGUGACUCCGUGCCCUCAUCGUUUCUGCAUCCCAACGCCCGAGAGAGAAUUCAUGGGCCAUGAAAUCCACCAAUCGUGCGGUACGUGGGACUCGAAUCUCGUUUCUAGUUUCACCCGCCRYWGCAUCGAGAAAUGGGCAGCGUUAAGCGAACGACUAGAGAUUGAUUGACGAAUACCAUCGAGAAGGUACGCAACACAGGAAACCAACCGACGGCCAAUGUAAAUUGUGCCAACAAUGAAGAGGGAAGCAAGAUAGGUCGUCCAGGCACUAGGCAGGGAUCCAA
rnacentral:misc_RNA from 1 species